UACGGAGGGUGCAAGCGUUAUCCGGAUUCACUGGGUUUAAAGGGUGCGUAGGUGGGCUGGUAAGUCAGUGGUGAAAUCUCCAGGCUUAACUUGGAAACUGCCAUUGAUACUAUCAAUCUUGAAUACUGUGGAGGUAAGCGGAAUAUGUCAUGUAGCGGUGAAAUGCUUAGAUAUGACAUAGAACACCGAUAGCGAAGGCAGCUUGCUACACAGUCAUUGACACUGAGGCACGAAAGCGUGGGGAUCAAACAGG
rnacentral:rRNA from 1 species